rnacentral:lncRNA from 1 species
UAGAGCUAAGGACCUAAUCAGCUGCACAUAGACAUAGCAAGAAAGAGAAGGGAGAGAACGGACGGAAAAAAAGGGAAUUGAGAGCGGCCUACUUCUUCUUCUAAAAUACUAGUUCCCUCCUUGGAUUCAUUUCCAUAACCAUGUGAAUACUCCGUUCAACACCAUCUGCUAUUAACCUUCAAAGCCACAAAUAGUUCCAUCCCUACUAAUUUUGUUUUUAAUUCUAACCUUCAACAACUUUCCACCAUAAUUCCUCCACGUAAAAACAUUACACAUUCACCUUCACCCAUUCUUCUACCACUGAGAUAAACCCAAUUCCUCUACCCAUAGUCACAAAAUACAUUAUUUCCAACAACUUCUGUUCUUAGCCAGGUCCAAACGGAGGUGAAAGUUCAAUUUCGAGUCAGGGCAUUUUCGUUCGAGAUUGCAGAUCCGAGUUCCCGUCGUGGUUCACUCUUUUCCGGUCAUAUUUCAAUUGGAGCUCAUUGUGGCAUUAACGGUUGGAUCGGAUUAUUUGUUGUACAUCUUGCUGGAGGUUAAUUAAAAUUGGAGAAGUUCCUACUUUAAUUGAGGUCCAUUUCUUUUUCUUUUCCCAAUUUGAUAUUACUUUACUCCUUACUUUAAUCAAUUUCUCUGAUGUGCUUAUUUGUGCUUAGUUUGUUUAUUACUUAACUGCAUUUGAUAAAUGUUCAGAUAUAAGCUAUUUGUUUGUAUAUUUCCUAAAUUGUGUUUGUUGGGGUGAGAACAUUUGUGCAGAAAAGUAAUCCAAAAUCGACGAUGGAUAAAUUUAGUAACAUGGAUAGUUAAAGUAAAUGACCGAGAAGAUAUCAAACGUGCAUAAUAGGUGUUGAACGUGGUUUAAUUAACAAGUGAAAAUUAUUUCUUUCGUGUUGGAAAAGACAAAUAAUUUGGAUAUUGAAUGAAUUUUACAUCGUUUCAUCUUUUUUUAAUUAAGAAUGGCUAGUAGCAUGUUUAGGCCUACCACACUCGGGUAGGCAAACUUUAGGAUUUUCCUUUUAUUUUCUCUUAUAUGAGGUGAGAGGUCGCCCCUUUUAGUUAAUUAAUUUAUUCGGGAAUGCCUCGAAGAACUUGUAAUAUUUUGGAGGCCGAGCAUUGUGGAGGGAGCAUAGUAUAGGUUAAUAUAGGAUUGUUAAUAUUUUAAUUUUCUUUUCUUUUCUUUUCUUUUGUUUAUCAGGCGGGGACGACCUCGAGCCUCUUCUGUGUUUAUUUUCGCUCUUUGUGUGUUUCCACCUCAAUCUCAGUAUUUCUAAAAAGCCAAUUAGAUCAUGUACGCAACCGUGAUUUUCACGGGACUCGGGGAAUGCCUAACACCUUCUCCCCGAGUCAAAUGAACCCCCUUAUCUAGAACCUCUAGUGCAAACUAGUUUAGAGUCAAAUAUGUUUUUUAAGAUAAAAUCGCUUUUAAAUGGUGACUUGGCACAUCGAGAAUAUAUACCAAGUGACGACUCUGAAAUAAUCUCUUUUGAACAAAUGUUUUGUCACUUUUUAAUUGAAAAUGCCUUUUGAGAUUUACAAAUCUUUUAUUUAUUUAAAAGAGGAUUAGUAAGGUCAAAAAAAAAAAGGGAUGUUACCGCUUAUAGGAAAAUUUCCCCUUCUUCCAUUCUAGAUCGUGCUUUAUAGCAUAAGGAUUGAAGCUAAAUUUUAUUUCUGUCAAUAUUACAUAUGAUUGACACAUGGCACAACCGAAGGGCGUAAGAUUCGAUGCUUAAGUAAUGGUAAUAGCUACUUGAAGAGUAGUGCAUGGGUUAAUAUUUGGUCCAUAUGAUGGGGAUAAAUGAGGUCAAGAAAGAGAUCACGAAUAAGUUAAGAUCACAUAUUAAAGUGCCAAGGGCCUAUUCAAUAGAACAUGGGGUGAUGAAAAUAAAGAAAUCCGUCAAAAGUGAUAAUUGGAUUCAUGAAGGUAAUAUUACUAACGAAAUGGAUAGGAGAACAUGAAAUAUUAUAUCUCCAAACCAUGUUCAAGAUAUAUCGAAGCAACAGAAUGGCCGAUCACUUUGACGCCAUCACCAAUGAGAUCAAACGAGAGAUGGACAAAGAGAAUUAAAUGGCCUGGAGUUGAGCAAGAAUGAUCAUACCUCGACAUUCUAUGAGGCAGUUCAGACAACAAACAAGGACCACAUUGGUCAAAGUAACGCGAAUUAGUUAAGAUUGCAACCCAUCCUGUGGCUUCGGUAAGAAGAGGCACUUAAGAGUGCAUAUGAACAUCUAUGAUAACAAGUAAAUAGACUCAAACUUGGUAAAUAGAUGAGUUGCUAAGGGAUGAGAUGCACAAUAUAGACGACUGAAAUACAUAACCUUGAAGGUUACAAAGGUAAUAUGGAUUACCAGGGAGGCAAAUAUGUAACGACCCGGCCGGUCGUUUCGAAUAUUACAACCCCGUCUUCCCAUUUAAUACUCAAAUUGUGCGGCCGAUAUGCGGACCACAUAUCCAUUUUGCGGUCGCAUAUUCCGGAGCUUCAUUAAUCUGAUUUUAUAAACCCGACCCCAUUCUUAUAAAACACUAUUGGAGGUCAUUUAGAAGGGUUUCAUUUGAUAUUUUAGAGAGAUAUGAGAGCAUCUUAGAGAGAGAAAGUGAAGACCUAGUCAUUUGCCCAUCAAUUCUUGUUUAAGGUUGAAAGAUUUCACAAGGAUCUUGCUAAGGUUUCAAAGAGGUAAGAAUUUCUAACCCUUAUCUUCAAUUUCGAGUUUGGGUAAAGAUGGAUAAUUGGGAGUAUGAUUCUUAGCUAUGAGAGUAUUAUUUAUACAUACACAUACCAAUAAGGUUUGUGGAAAGAUUGUUGAGUUCAAAUGGGUAAAGAUUGAGUUCAAAAUGGUAGAAAUCUUCAAAGACUUUAAUAGAGGAUUUGAGGGCCGAGUUGAUGUCGGAAUUUGGUAAAAUUUAUAUGGUUGGACUCGUGGUUAGAUGAGUGUUCAUAUUUUAUAACUUUUGUCAGGUUCUGAGAUGUGUGGUCCACGGACAAUUUUUGAGUUAAAUUUUGAAUUUUAUUGGAAAAUUAGUAUUUUCUUAUGGAAUUAAUUCCAAUAAUCUUUAAUGACUGAAUCGGAUAAUUUAUGGCUAGAUUCAAGGCAUUUGAAGGCCAAUUUCCGAGGUAAGGGCAUAGUAGAAUAAAUAUUUACACGAUUUAAGGUAAGUAACAGUUCUAAAUUUGGUCCUGAGGGUAUAAAACCCUGAAUUAUAUGUUAUGUGAUUGGUCUCGAGGUGACGCACAUGCUAGGUGAUGGGCGUGUGGGCGUGCACCGUAGUAAUUAUGACUUGGUCAAAUUCCAUGGAACUGUGUAGUUGAAUAAUCUGUUGAUAUCCAUACAUUCUCUACGUGUUAGAGAAAAUUGAGCUGAGACUCGUAUUAAAAAUCAUGCUUAGACAUAUGUUGUUAUUAUUGGUACCCACUUGGGUCAUUUCUGUGGUUGAAAUAUAUGUUCAAAUUGUAAUUUCACACUCAAUCAUGUUCAUUCAUUUCAUAUCAUAUCUCAGUCUCCGUUGCUAUUUAUUGAUACAUCAUAUUAUCAUUUUGGGCUGAUUUUCAUGAGAUCUUUAGCCCGAGAGACUGGAGAGGUGAUGACUGAGUGAGGUCGAGGGCUUAAUUGUGAGGAUAUAUAUGGAAUCUGGUUGCACGCCGCAACAUGUUUUGUUGAUUUAUGACAUGAUUGGUUUGUUAUAGCGCUUGGGCUGAAGCAGCCCCUCCGGAGUCUGUACACACCCUUAGUGAGCGCAUGUACCUACUGAUUGCGAGUGUCGAGUGCCGAGUACUGAGUGACUGUAAGAAAAGAGUGAAUGUAGGGUUGGAGUGAAUGGGAGGACUAAGUAAUGGUUACUCUGAGAGGAUGCAUUGAUUUCAUUAUUUGUUGCAUUUUCGCUAUCAUAUAACACUAUUUUGGAAAUUUCGGAAAACCAUUAUUUUCUGUUUUAGUCAAAUUUGAUAUGAAAUUCCUGUGAAAUUUUUAAUGUUAAACUUGAGAGCAUGCCUACCCUUUUAUGUUUGAAAGUACUGUAUUUGGACUUAGAUGAGAAGCUCGUCACUACUUUCAGUUCCUUAAUUAUUAUUGUUACUUGCUGAAUUGGUUAUACUCAUACUACACCCUGCACUUCGUGUGCAGAUCCAGGUGAUCUCGGACACAGGGGUGUUGAUUCUUUCACACAGUUGAUUUUUCUGAGAUUCAGAGGUAGCUGCCAUGUUUCGUAGACCUUGUCUCUCCUUCCCUAUCUCCCUGUUUAUUGUAUUUGGUCUUAGACUAUUAUAGACCGUGUUUUCCAGACAUGUAAUGUAUAGAUGCUCAUGUACUUAGUGACACCGGGUUUUGGGAAUAUGUUUUACCUAGUAUUUGUAGGAUUUUCUCUUAAACUUAAUUAUGAUGUUUUUCGUAUUUAAAAGAUAUUGUGGGUUAUUGAUGAUGUCGGCUUGCCAAGUAUUGAGAUAGGCGCCAUCACGACGGGUGAGAUUUCGGGUCGUGACAAUUCAGUAUCAGAGCCUAGGUUACAUAUGUCUCACGAGUCAUGAGCAGGUU